rnacentral:rRNA from 1 species
CCUACGGGAUGCUGCAGUCGGGAAUUUUGCUCAAUGGGCGAAAGCCUGACGCAGCAACGCCGCGUGAGGGAUGAAGGCCUUCGGGUCGUAAACCUCUUUUUCCGGGGACGCGGUACCCGGCGAAUAAGCCACGGCUAACUACGUGCCAGCAGCCGCGGUAAUACGUAGGUGGCGAGCGUUGUCCGGAUUUACUGGGCGUAAAGAGCGCGCAGGCGGUCGUAUAAGUCGAAUGUGAAAGCCCCUGGCUCAACUAGGGAGAGUCAUUCGAUACUGUUCGACUCGAAGGCAGGAGAGGGAAGUGGAAUUCCGGGUGUAGUGGUGAAAUGCGUAGAUAUCCGGAGGAACACCAGUGGCGAAGGCGACUUUCUGGCUUUCUUGACGCUGAGGCGCGAAAGCUAGGGGAGCAAACGGGAUUAGAUACCCUAGUAGUC